CUGCAUAGGAGAGAGCAGGAACCAAUCAUUCAGAGUAAAGCUGGAUGGACAGGGGAAUAGAAUGACCAGUCCUCUGUCUUGAUAUUCUGCUUAGAGUCAGCUGCUGUUUGGGAUGGUCAUAUUAGCCACACGAGUCUCAGCAGCCACACGAGUCUCAGCAACAAUACGAGUCACCACAGCCACACGAGUCUCAGCAGCCA